rnacentral:snRNA from 1 species
UGUCCUCCACAGGAGGUCUAUAUUGAGCAGAUUUUUUUUUGGUGUUGGGUGGUGGAACCGGAGCGUGCUCCAUCCACUCCAUGCAUUGACCUGGUAUUGCAGUGUUUCCAGGGCCGGUGC